rnacentral:rRNA from 1 species
AUCUACGGCCGUACUAUCCUAAACACACCUGAUCUCAUCUGAUUUCAGAAGCUAAGCAGGUCAAGUGUGUUUAGUACUUGCAUGGGAAACAAAUUCUAUGGCAU